rnacentral:lncRNA from 1 species
GGGUCCGCCCGUUUCUCUAAUCAAGUUGUAACACUCGCUGCUGUGGUCCACAGCUUCAUUCCUUGAAGCCCGUGAGACACGAACGCUUCCAUUGAGAAAAACCUUCCAUCAGAAGAAGACUUCUCGUCUCAGUGGGACUGCUGAGUUGAAUGAGACGAGGUUUCACCAUGUUACCCAAGCUGAUCUCGAACUCCUGGGUUCAUGCGAUCCACCUGACUCAGCCUCACAAAGUGGUAGGACUACAGAAAAUGAACAGGACUAUUCUUCCUCAAACAAAGAGAUCGUGUGAUGAAGACUCACCAGAGCUGUUCUCUAUAAGCUUGAAGAGCAAUGGUAUCAGGUGCUUUUUUUUCUGAAGCUUUGGUAGUGUAACUGUAAGAGUCCUGGAAUUGGAAAAGCAAAUCCAGAAGUUGAGUUCCAUGACUUUUUUGCUGUUUGCCUUUGGACUUGCAUCAUUUAUAUUUUUAAUUCAUCGAGGAUGAGAAAAUUGAUUAACACAAAAUCUUUUCAUGUCUUUUCUGAUGAGAGACUAGCUGAAUCCAAGAAGAGAAGCCCUUGAAGAGUGUAUUCUAUUCUAGACAAGCAUUCACACAUUGGCUUCUUUGGUGCCAGCAUGUUUCUGAUCAGCAUGAAAACUGCGCAGGAGCUUUUCUGUCUUGCAGAGCUAGUUAAUGAGAUUGUUGCUGCCUUCAGAUUCUAUAAAGGACUUCUCCAAUAUUGGAUUAAAGAAUGAAGAAAGGAUCAAAUUGAGACAUCCAGGGGGGAAGAGUUCCCUGGCAAAACUCCAAUCUGCCUGAGCACUGAGGUGGAGCCACAGAAGUCCGGGUCAUUUGCACCUGGGAGGAGCCUGGCCCCUCCUCUUCCUGUGUGGAAUCUGGGAUUUAAUCUGUGAGGAGGGAAGGCCAAGGGCAGGAAGCACAGGCUCUCACUUCACUAAGAGUCUCUGUUUCCCCUUUUUUUCCUUUAUGCCUAAUUAAUAAAUCCCAUUUUUCUCACUCUUCAAA